rnacentral:tRNA from 1 species
GGGCGUGUAGCUCAGGUGGUUAGAGCGCAACACUGAUAAUGUUGAGGUCGAAGGUUCGAGUCCUUCCACGCCCACCA